UGGGGAAUCUUGCGCAAUGGGCGAAAGCCUGACGCAGCGACGCCGCGUGCGGGAAGAAGGCCUUAGGGUUGUAAACCGCUUUCAGGAGGGACGAAGCCACUCGGGUGAAUAGCCCAGAGGGUGACGGUACCUCCAGAAGAAGCCCCGGCUAACUACGUGCCAGCAGCCGCGGUAAUACGUAGGGGGCAAGCGUUGUCCGGAUUCAUUGGGCGUAAAGAGCGUGUAGGCGGCCAGGUAGGUCGGUUGUGAAAACUGGAGGCUCAACCUUCAGAGGUCGACCGAAACCAUCUGGCUAGAGUCCGGGAGAGGAGAGUGGAAUUCCUGGUGUAGCGGUGAAAUGCGCAGAUAUCAGGAAGAACACCCGUGGCGAAAGCGGCUCUCUGGAACGGUACUGACGCUGAGACGCGAAAGCGUGGGGAGCGAACA
rnacentral:rRNA from 1 species